rnacentral:rRNA from 1 species
GACGAACGCUGGCGGCGUGCCUAAUACAUGCCAGUCGAGCGAAGUUUUUCUGGUGCUUGCACUAGAAAAACUUAGCGGCGAACGGGUGAGUAACACGUAAAGAACCUGCCUCAUAGACUGGGGCAACUAUUGGAAACGAUAGCUAAUACCGGAUAACAGUAUUUCUCGCAUGAGAGAUAUUUAAAAGUUGGUUAUGCUAACACUAUGAGAUGGCUUUGCGGUGCAUUAGCUAGUUGGUGGGGUAAAGGCCCACCAAGGCGACGAUGCAUAGCCGACCUGAGAGGGUGAUCGGCCACACUGGGACUGAGACACGGCCCAGACUCCUACGGGAGGCAGCAGUAGGGAAUCUUCCGCAAUGGGCGAAAGCCUGACGGAGCAACGCCGCGUGAGUGAAGAAGGAUUUCGGUUCGUAAAGCUCUGUUGUUAGGGAAGAAUGGAUAUGUAGUAACUAUACAUGUAAGAGACGGUACCUAACCAGAAAGCCACGGCUAACUACGUG